UACGUAGGGUGCGAGCGUUGCCCGGAUUUAUUGGGCGUAAAGGGCGCGUAGGCGGCUCUGCACGUCCGUUGUGAAAUCGCCCGGCUCAACUGGGCGGGGUCAGCGGAUACGGCGGAGCUUGAGCAAGCUAGGGGGCAAUGGAAUUCCCGGUGUAGUGGUGGAAUGCAUAGAUAUCGGGAGGAACACCAGUGGCGAAGGCGGUUGCCUGGGGCUUUGCUGACGCUGAUGCGCGAAAGCGUGGGGAGCGAUCCGG
rnacentral:rRNA from 1 species